UCUUAGCUCAGGGGUAGAGCGCGUCACUAGUAAUGACGAGGCCAUUGGUUCGAUUCCAGUAUGUCUAU
rnacentral:tRNA from 1 species